UUGAUAAUUAAAUGUUUAGCUCAGACAACACUAAUAAAGAAUUUUUUCCUCUGACGAGUACAAAGACAAUCGCCAAAGCAACUAAGGUAAUAUAAAGCAUAGGGUUGGAGUUAGUGAGUUUUUAAAACCCACAUUACUCAGUAAUGAUCCUUCCGCAGGUUCACCUACGGAAA
rnacentral:misc_RNA from 1 species